GGUGGGAAAUAGCAUAUCAAUAAGCGGAGGAAAAGAAAGCAACAGCGAUAGCCCCAGUAACGGCGAGUGAAGCGGCUACAGCUCAAAUUUGAAAUCUGGCCCCCUCCGGGGGUCCGAGUUGUAAUUUGCAGAGGAUGCUUUGGCGUUGGCGGCGGUCUAAGUUCCUUGGAACAGGACAUCGCAGAGGGUGAGAAUCCCGUACGUGGGCGCCUGCCUUCGCCGUGUAAAGCUCCUUCGACGAGUCGAGUUGUUUGGGAAUGCAGCUCUAAAUGGGAGGUAAAUUUCUCCUAAAGCUAAAUACCGGCCAGAGACCGAUAGCGCACAAGUAGAGUGAUCGAAAGAUGAAAAGUACUUUGGAAAGAGAGUCAAAUAGCACGUGAAAUUGUUGAAAGGGAAGCGCUUGCAGCCAGACUUGCCCGCGGUUGCUCACCCAGGCUCCCGCCUGGGGCACUCUUCCGCGGGCAGGCCAGCAUCAGUUUGGGCGGUCGGACAAAGGUCUCUGUCACGUACCACCCUCCGGGGUGGCCUUAUAGGGGAGACGCAAUGCGACCAGCCCGGACUGAGGUCCGCGCAUCUGCUAGGAUGCUGGCGUAAUGGCUGUAAGCGGCCCGUCUUGAAACACGGACCAAGGAGUCUAACAUCUAUGCGAGUGUUUGGGUGUCAAGCCCGGGCGCGUAAUGAAAGUGAACGGAGGUGGGAACCCCUCGCGGGGCGCACCAUCGACCGAUCCUGAUGUCUUCGGAUGGAUUUGAGUAAGAGCAUAGCUGUUGGGACCCGAAAGAUGGUGAACUAUGCUUGAAUAGGGUGAAGCCAGAGGAAACUCUGGUGGAGGCUCGCAGCGGUUCUGACGUGCAAAUCGAUCGUCAAAUUUGGGCAUAGGGCGAAAGACUAAUCGAACCAUCUAGUAGCUGGUUCCUGCCGAAUUCCCCCUCAGGA
rnacentral:rRNA from 1 species